AAAAUUUAGUCCUGAUAUCAAUGAUGAGUUCAUUUACAACCACUGGGUCGAUGCCACUGCUGGUAGAGAUUUAUUUCCCCGAGGGUAUCACCAGCCCAGUAGUCAGCACUUUAUUUGCUGACAUGAAUUAUCAUUGAUAUGGUUAUAUUUAUAAAUUAACUGUUUACAAAAUUUUAAAUUUUUGAAAUACUAAGGCUUUUCUACCUCAGGCA
rnacentral:lncRNA from 1 species